UACAGAGGUCUCAAGCGUUGUUCGGAAUCACUGGGCGUAAAGGGUGCGUAGGCGGGUCUUUAAGUCCGGGGUGAAAUCCUGGAGCUCAACUCCAGAACUGCCUUUGAUACUGAAGAUCUUGAGUUCGGGAGAGGUGAGUGGAACUGCGAGUGUAGAGGUGAAAUUCGUAGAUAUUCGCAAGAACACCAGUGGCGAAGGCGGCUCACUGGCCCGAUACUGACGCUGAGGCACGAAAGCGUGGGGAGCAAACAGG
rnacentral:rRNA from 1 species